rnacentral:lncRNA from 1 species
CAAUUGGAAUACCCUGACCUCAGCUCUAAGGUAUUUGAAGUGUACGUCCCACUUCAAAUACCUUAGAGCUGGGAUCCGGGUAUUCCAAGUGGACGACGGCAAAUCAUAGCUGCCUGCAAACACUCGGUGACAGUACGGGACCUCAAAAGCAAUUGGGAGAUAUGCCCUACGUCCGCCCAGGUCCAAUCGCAGAUUUCGGAGCAAGUUGAUUUUCCACUAUGUGCAGCUUUAAUUCGGGGGAAAAAAAAAAAAAAAUCAUCUUUGCGAUGGAAUGGGCCACACAUGUGAAAAUUUAACCAUGUCAUCCUCUCCUCAUACAGAACACAUGGUGUAAAUAUGAAAAAAUUCGGAGCAAGCGAAGUCCCUGUUUGCGUUGUUCUCGCUCGUUAAUUGGUCGUACAUUCUGAUUGGCUGGUCUGUUGAAGCAUGCCUCUAACAUCAGUGUAGCACACAACCUGCAUGUAGCUGAUCUGCGCUGUGAUUGGUCGAGGGUCUUAGAACAUGAGGUGUGAAGCCCCUUUAAAGACCCGGAGGAGCAGUCGACGGACAGGGACUGCGGGCGAAAGAAAGACGGAAAAUGCAUAGUUGCCCAUUGUGUCAACGCUAUUUCAGUGCCCUUAACAAGCACCUGAAGAACAUGCACCUGAUCCAUAAUGCGGAAGAGAGGCGGCUGCUGCUCAAUAUGGCAUCUGGAAGGGUGAACAUCAGAGCUGCACCCUGCCCUGUUCCAGGGUGCCAGAACCAGCUCUCCCGGCUGGACAGGCACAUUAACCAGUCUCAUGCCGAGCUCACCAUUGCUGAAAGGGCGGCAAAAAUGAAUCAGGCCAAGAGAAUCCGCACAAUGGAACUCUUGGCCGAGCUCAGGGCUACAGAUUCGAACCCCGCGAUGCAGUCUAUGUUGGACGUCAACCCGAGUCCCCUGGAGGAGGAAAUAGAUGUUGCUCCACCGUCCCCCGUGGCAGAUUGCGGCUCGGCCGAGUGCAGGCGCAUUCGGCUCGGGUACGAGCGGGAGCUGGAAGGAGUAAAGGCAGAGAGGGACGAGUUCUGCGCCGAGGUCCGACUUCUCCGCACAAAGCUGCAAAAGCAGCUGCGCAGCAUGAAGAGUGGCCGCACCACUGCAGUUGAGAGCCAGGAGGACGAACGCGUGACGGAGGGAGGCCGGUCCUCGGCCGCGUCGGAGGAGGCGGGCCGGUCCUCGGCCGCGUCGGAGAAGGCGGGCCGGUCCUCGGCCGCGUCGGAGAAGGCGGGCCGGUCCUCGGCCGCGUGGGAGGAGGAGGCGGGCUCGUCCUCCUUCAGCCCGUGGAGUUCCGGCAGCGGCAUGGGGAACCUCAUGAGGCGGCAAAAAUUAAUCAGGCCAAGAGAAUCCGCACAAUGGAACUCUUGGCCGAGCUCAGGGCUACAGAUUCGACCCCCGCGAUGCAGUCUAUGUUGGACGUCAACCCGAGUCCCCUGGAGGAGGAAAUAG